UACGGAGGGAGCUAGCGUUGUUCGGAAUCACUGGGCGUAAAGCGCACGUAGGCGGAUUUGCCAGUCAGGGGUGAAAUCCCGGGGCUCAACCUCGGAACUGCCUUUGAUACAGCAAGUCUUGAGUUCGAGAGAGGUGGGUGGAAUUCCUAGUGUAGAGGUGAAAUUCGUAGAUAUUAGGAAGAACACCGGUGGCGAAGGCGGCCCACUGGCUCGACACUGACGCUGAGGUGCGAAAGCGUGGGGAGCAAACAGG
rnacentral:rRNA from 1 species